UAUGAGAAGUUCAUGCGUAUG
rnacentral:piRNA from 1 species